rnacentral:rRNA from 1 species
CGUAGGGGGCAAGCGUUGUCCGGAUUUAUUGGGCGUAAAGCGCUCGCAGGUGGUCCGUCGCGUCGUGCGUGAAAGCCCCCGGCUCAACUGGGGAGUGUCGUGCGAUACGGGCGGACUGGAGGCCAGUAGGGGGAUGCGGAAUUCCGGGUGUAGUGGUGGAAUGCGUAGGGAUCCGGAGGAACACCAGCGGCGAAGGCGGCAUCCUGGACUGGUCCUGACACUCAUGAGCGAAAGCGUGGGGAGCGAUCCGGAUUAGAUACCCGGGUAGUCCACGCUGUAAACGAUGCGCACUAGGUGUCGGGGGUAUCGACCCCCUCGGUGCCGCAGCUAACGCGAUAAGUGCGCCGCCUGGGGACUACGGCCGCAAGGCUA